ensembl:lncRNA
UCUACUGUCAUUAUAUUACCCUGGUCUACCAUCUACUGUCAUGAUAUUACCCUGGUCUACCAUCUACUGUCAUGAUAUUACCCUGGUCUACCAUCUACUGUCAUUAUAUUACUCUGGUCUACCAUCUACUGUCAUGAUAUUACCCUGGUCUACCAUCUACUGUCAUUAUAUUAACCUGGUCUACCAUCUACUGCCAUUAUAUUACCCUGGUCUACCCUCUACUGUCAUUAUAUUACCCUGGUCUACUGUCAUUAUAUUACCCUGGUCUACCAUCUACUGUCAUUAUAUUACCCUGCUCUACCAUCUACUGUCAUUAUAUUACCCUGG